rnacentral:rRNA from 1 species
CCAACAGGGAUUGCCUCAGUAACGGCGAGUGAAGCGGCAACAGCUCAAAUUUGAAAUCUGCCGCAAGGCCGAGUUGUAAUUCGUAGAGGAUGCUUCUGGGCAGCGGCCGGUCUAAGUUCCUUGGAACAGGACGUCAUAGAGGGUGAGAAUCCCGUAUGCGACCGGUUGGCACCCGUCACGUAGCCUCCUUCGACGAGUCGAGUUGUUUGGGAAUGCAGCUUCUAAAUGGGUGGUAAAUUCCAUCUAAAGCUWAAUACCGGCCAGAGACCGAUAGCGCACAAGUAGAGUGAUCGAAAGAUGAAAAGCACUUUGAAAAGAGAGUUAAAAAGCACGUGAAAUUGUUGAAAGGGAAGCGCAU